rnacentral:sRNA from 1 species
GUCAACAACCCCUGCCUUAAGGCAGAGGCUUGAGAGCCUUGGUUGACUAAGCGUAGUUCGCGCAAGGCGAACCACGUUGGUAGGAAAUGCAUAGGCACCGCGGGAUAUCAAUCCUAGCCCGCGCUCUGC